CGCUGAUUCAAGUGAAUUUGGAAAUAAUACAUAUGCUUAUAAAAAUAGAGAGUUCCAAGAUUAUCAAGUAGGUGCAAUAUCAUAUCAGUGGAAUACAAAUUUUAAAGCAUGAAUAGAAAGUGAAUUUUUUACAAUAAUCAACUAAUAAAUAUCACAUUGUUCAUAAGAUAGUUAUCAAGAAACCACUUAACCAAAAAAUUCAAACUUGUAGAUGAAACCUAAGAAUAGUUUUAAAUUUAACAUCUCUAAUGAGGGCAGAUUUACACCAACCAAUAUAAUAUGAAGAGUUGGACGCAUAACAUGCAGGUGGUUCACUAACAGAGCUAUCACCGCAAGGGGAAGCUUUCAACAUGUCAUAACUAUACCCCAAGGCCUUUUUAUUGUUUGUUCUCAAUUCUUUUUCUAUAAUGGCCCAUAAUGCACAUUAUGGCACAGGUCCAACAAUGGAUUACAAGCCUAUCAAAGAUGUCAAUGUUCAAGAAAUGCCAACAACCAAAAGUGUGACUACAUACAUCUCAAUUGAUAAAUGUACUCCACAAUCUUCAUGAACUAGUACAUAAAGGACAAGUACCACUUCUCAAUACAACAUUAAUCCUCAUAAUGGAAUACAUACAGCAGAUAAGUUGCUAUACAGAAUUUUCAGGGUUCUUUUCUCCUCUUUUUCCGUAUAACUAUGUUUUAACUGCUAUGACACACUAUUAUGACAAAAAUUAUCAAACUGGAGCAGUUAGAACUUAGAAGCUGUCAAUUUUGUAGAUUAUAAACUCAAAAAUAAAAAGGACCAGUAUUAAGGUAUUUCAUUCAAAAAUCUGCCUGAUCUACCAGUUCUAUGCUUCAACUUUCUAGAAGUCAUAAUUUAAAAUGAAAGAUAAUAAACAAUUAAAUAUGCAAUGGUAAAGGGAACUAAAACUAACAAUCUAUAUAAAUAGGAACAUGUGGUAUUAUAAUAGUGGAAAUACAGCAGAAAGCAAAGGAUAAAAAACUUACCCUGGAGGAAAUUUGCUAUCACUA
rnacentral:misc_RNA from 1 species